rnacentral:rRNA from 1 species
GGGCCCGCACAAGCGGUGGAGCAUGUGGUUCAAUUCGACGCAACGCGAAGAACCUUACCUGGGCUAGACAACGGUGGACCGUCCUAGAAAUAGGAUUUUCCCUUCGGGGACUGCCGGUUCAGGUGCUGCAUGGCUGUCGUCAGCUCGUGCCGUGAGGUGUUGGGUUAAGUCCCGCAACGAGCGCAACCCUUGUCCUUAGUUGCCACCAUUCAGUUGGGCACUCUAGGGAGACUGCCGGCGUUAAGCCGGAGGAAGGUGGGGACGACGUCAAGUCAUCAUGGCCCUUAUGUCCAGGGCCACACACGUGCUACAAUGGGCGGUACAAAGGGUCGCAAACCCGCAAGGGGGAGCCAAUCCCAAAAAGCCGCUCUCAGUUCGGAUUGGAGUCUGCAACUCGACUCCAUGAAGUUGGAAUCGCUAGUAAUCGCGGAUCAGCACGCCGCGGUGAAUACGUUCCCGGGCCUU